rnacentral:rRNA from 1 species
GAUGAACGCUGGCGGUAUGCUUAACACAUGCAAGUCGAACGGACUCUUCGGAGUGAGUGGCGGACGGGUGAGUAACGCGUGAGAAUCUGGGUUUGGGUUGGGGACAACCACUGGAAAAGGUGGCUAAUAUCGGAUGUGCCGAGAGGUAAAAGAGAAAUUGCCUGAAGAUGAGGUGGCGUCUGAUUAGCUAGUUGGUGAGGUAAAGGCUCACCAAGGCAGCGAUCAGUAGCUGGUCUGAGAGGAUGACCAGCAACAGGGGGACUGAGACACGGACCAGACUCCUACGGGAGGCAGCAGUGGAGAAUUUUCCGCAAGGGGAGAAAGCCUGACGGAGCAAUACCGCGUGGGGGAAGAAGGCUCUUGGGUUGUAAACCUCUUGCCUUAAGGAAGAACAAAAUGACGGUACCUAAGGAAGAAGCAUCGGCUAACUACGUG